CGGUGUGGACGUAAACACGCAUUUGGCUGUCGCUUCUGGAUUCAAAAUAGAUUCCAAUUUUGGUGGUUAUCGAGUCAAUGCUGAGCUUGAAUCACGACCAAACGUCCGGUUGGCUGGAGAUGCUGCCUUCUUUUGUGAUAGCAAAUUGGAUCGUCAUCGUAUGAAACAUCACCACCAUGCUGUUGUAUUAGGGCGAUUGGCUGGAGAGAAGAAUACUGGCAACGAAACAUGGAUGAACAUCUGCAGUGCACUGUCACCAAGUGCAUUCUUCGUCAUAUUAUUAGUACGCAAUCGGUUAACUAUAGUGUCGUGCUGCUGUUGGUUGUUGUACCGUUGACGACUGGGUUGACCUGGUGUACUCAUGUCUCCUGGGUAUGGCGGAUACCGAACCGCAACGCCGCCGCCUUACUACACAGCAUACGCAAUUACCAGUUACUAGACCGCCAAGGCACCAGAGUAUUACACCACACCUUAUGAUGCUCCGAGCUACUACACCGAAGCCAUGAAGUUUAACUCUGCCCCGAGUUACAUCAACGAAGACGUCAAGUACUACACCGCGGUUUCCAAGUACUACACCACCCAGGUAUUGGAUUGCUACAAGACUACGUAUGCUGUCCCAGCCUACAACACCGAGGCUUCCAAGUACUACUCUGUGCCCAGCUA